rnacentral:rRNA from 1 species
AGUGAACGCUGGCGGUAGGCCUAACACAUGCAAGUCGAACGGCAGCACAGUAAGAGCUUGCUCUUACGGGUGGCGAGUGGCGGACGGGUGAGGAAUACAUCGGCAUCUACUUUUUCGUGGGGGAUAACGUAGGGAAACUUACGCUACUACCGCAUACGUCCUACGGGUGAAAGCAGUGGAUCUUCGGACCUUGCGUGAUUGAAUGAGCCGAUGUCGGAUUAGCUAGUUGGCGGGGUAAAGGCCCACCAAGGCGACGAUCCGUAGCUGGUCUGAGAGGAUGAUCAGCCACACUGGAACUGAGACACGGUCCAGACUCCUACGGGAGGCAGCAGUGGGGAAUAUUGGACAAUGGGCGCAAGCCUGAUCCAGCCAUACCGCGUGGGUGAAGAAGGCCUUCGGGUUGUAAAACCCUUUUGUUGGGAAAGAAAAGCAGCAGGUGAAUACCCCGCUGUUCUGACGGUACCCAAAGAAUAAGCACCGGCUAACUUCGUG